GAUGAACGCUGACAGAAUGCUUAACACAUGCAAGUCGAUGGGGAAGUGGUGCUUGCACCAUGGUAACCAUGGCGGACGGGUGAGUAACGCGUAAGGAACUUGCCUGCGGGACCGGGAUAACAGCAGGAAACUGCUGACAAGACCGGAUAAGGUCAUGAAGCUGCAUAGCUUAGUGAUGAAAGGAGACGCCUGCGGAGAGCCUUGCGUCCUAUUAGCUAGUUGGAGGGGUAACGGCCCACCAAGGCGAAGAUAGGUAGCCGGCCUGAGAGGGUGGACGGCCACAAGGGGACUGAGAUACGGCCCUUACUCCUACGGGAGGCAGCAGUGGGGAAUAUUGGACAAUGGGGGCAACCCUGAUCCAGCAAUUCUGUGUGCACGAAGACGGUUUUCGGAUUGUAAAGUGCUUUCAGCAGGGAAGAAGG
rnacentral:rRNA from 1 species